UGAGGCUUCAGGGUUUCUGGAAAAAGCCUCCGCAGACCUCAGUCAGAGGGCCAACGGGACUUGCCUGAUGGAGGAGACGGUCCCAUCUGCCUCCCCUCCGUCCUUCGGUCCCAAAUGCUCCUGGCAAGGAAUGCCUUGCGGGUGAAGCCUUGGGCUGGCUCAACUGGUUUGGGCA